rnacentral:rRNA from 1 species
GACGAACGCUGGCGGCGUGCUUAACACAUGCAAGUCGAACGGAAAGGCCCUGCUUUUGUGGGGUGCUCGAGUGGCGAACGGGUGAGUAACACGUGAGUAACCUGCCCUUGACUUUGGGAUAACUUCAGGAAACUGGGGCUAAUACCGGAUAGGAGCUCCUGCUGCAUGUUGGGGGUUGGAGAGUUUCGGCGGUUGGGGAUGGACUCGCGGCUUAUCAGCUUGUUGGUGGGGUAGUGGCUUACCAAGGCUUUGACGGGUAGCCGGCCUGAGAGGGUUACCGGCCACAUUGGGACUGAGAUACGGCCCAGACUCCUACGGGAGGCAGCAGUGGGGAAUAUUGCACAAUGGGCGGAAGCCUGAUGCAGCAACGCCGCGUGCGGGAUGACGGCCUUCGGGUUGUAAACCGCUUUCGCCUGUGACGAAGCGUGAGUGACGGUAAUGGGUAAAGAAGCACCGGCUAACUACGUG